UACGGGGGGGGCAAGCGUUGUUCGGAAUUACUGGGCGUAAAGGGCCCGUAGGCGGCCAACUAAGCCCGACGUGAAAUCCCCAGGCUUAACUUGGGAACUGCGUCGGAUACUGGAUGGCUUGAAUUCGGGAGAGGGAUGCAGAAUUCCAGGUGUAGCGGUGAAAUGCGUAGAUAUCUGGAGGAAUACCGGUGGCGAAGGCGGCAUCCUGGACCGACAUUGACGCUGAACGGCGAAAGCUAGGGGAGCAAACGGG
rnacentral:rRNA from 1 species